UGUUUUUUGUCUUUUUGAUAAUAGCCAUUCAAAAAGGCAUCAGAUGACAUACUGUAAAUGCUGGUGGACAAAAAGUUUCAGGAAGGAGCUUUGGGUUUGUAAGCAAGUUCUGAGCUGCUUACUUCAUCACUGAGAUCCAUUAAAACAAGCCUGCCUGUCAGCAAGCUUCCAGCAAGAACUUAAAAAUGAUGUCACUUGCACAACAGCAGACUAGACUUCUAAAGAUUUUUAAAUCACACGACUUAAGUGAAAUCCAAGCUUAGCCUGUUCACAUCCCUUCGAUCCAGGGGUUAUUUGGCUGAACUGGCUUCCUGUUUCAACAACUUGAAUACCAACCAACUGGACAAACAGCGCGGUGAGCAGAAGAGGGCCUGCAUUCUCCUACCCCUACCCUCCAUCCCUGCGGCGCACAUCUGGGGCAAUCUCCGCGGCCAACUUCCCCGCCUCUCACUUUGGCCCCCGCCUCUCACUU